rnacentral:rRNA from 1 species
ACAAAAGGACGACAUUAGACGAAUCAUCUGGAAAGAUGAAUCAAAGAAGGUAAUAAUCCUGUAGUCGAAAAUGUUGUCUCUCUUGAGUGGAUCCUGAGUACGACGGAGCACGUGAAAUUCCGUCGGAAUCUGGGAGGACCAUCUCCUAAGGCUAAAUACUCUCUAGUGACCGAUAGUGAACCAGUACCGUGAGGGAAAGGUGAAAAGCACCCCGGAAGGGGAGUGAAAUAGAACCUGAAACCGUGUGCUUACAAGUAGUCAGAGCCCGUUAAUGGGUGAUGGCGUGCCUUUUGUAGAAUGAACCGGCGAGUUACGAUUUGAUGCAAGGUUAAGCAGUAAAUGUGGAGCUGUAGCGAAAGCGAGUCUGAAUAGGGCGUUUAGUAUUUGGUCGUAGACCCGAAACCAGGUGAUCUACCCUUGGUCAGGUUGAAGUUCAGGUAACACUGAAUGGAGGACCGAACCGACUUACGUUGAAAAGUAGAGCGGAUGAACUGAGGGUAGCGGAGAAAUUCCAAUCGAACCUGGAGAUAGCUGGUUCUCUCCGAAAUAGCUUUAGGGCUAGCCUCAAGUGAUGAUUAUUGGAGGUAGAGCACUGUUUGGACGAGGGGCCCCUCUCGGGUUACCGAAUUCAGACAAACUCCGAAUGCCAAUUAAUUUAACUUGGGAGUCAGAACAUGGGUGAUAAGGUCCAUGUUCGAAAGGGAAACAGCCCAGACCACCAGCUAAGGUCCCAAAAUAUAUGUUAAGUGGAAAAGGAUGUGGCGUUGCCCAGACAACUAGGAUGUUGGCUUAGAAGCAGCCAUCAUUUAAAGAGUGCGUAAUAGCUCACUAGUCGAGUGACACUGCGCCGAAAAUGUACCGGGGCUAAACAUAUUACCGAAGCUGUGGAUUGUCCUUUGGACAAUGGUAGGAGAGCGUUCUAAGGGCGUUGAAGCAUGAUCGUAAGGACAUGUGGAGCGCUUAGAAGUGAGAAUGCCGGUGUGAGUAGCGAAAGAUGGGUGAGAAUCCCGUCCACCGAUUGACUAAGGUUUCCAGAGGAAGGCUCGUCCGCUCAGGGUUAGUCGGGUCCUAAGCUGAGGCCGACAGGCGUAGGCGAUGGAUAACAGGUUGAUAUUCCUGUACCACCUAUAAUCGUUUUAAUCGAUGGGGGGACGCAGUAGGAUAGGCGAAGCGUGCGAUUGGAUUGCACGUCUAAGCAGUAAGGCUGAGUAUUAGGCAAAUCCGGUACUCGUUAAGGCUGAGCUGUGAUGGGGAGAAGACAUUGUGUCUUCGAGUCGUUGAUUUCACACUGCCGAGAAAAGCCUCUAGAUAGAAAAUAGGUGCCCGUACCGCAAACCGACACAGGUAGUCAAGAUGAGAAUUCUAAGGUGAGCGAGCGAACUCUCGUUAAGGAACUCGGCAAAAUGACCCCGUAACUUCGGGAGAAGGGGUGCUCUUUAGGGUUAACGCCCAGAAGAGCCGCAGUGAAUAGGCCCAAGCGACUGUUUAUCAAAAACACAGGUCUCUGCUAAACCGUAAGGUGAUGUAUAGGGGCUGACGCCUGCCCGGUGCUGGAAGGUUAAGAGGAGUGGUUAGCUUCUGCGAAGCUACGAAUCGAAGCCCCAGUAAACGGCGGCCGUAACUAUAACGGUCCUAAGGUAGCGAAAUUCCUUGUCGGGUAAGUUCCGACCCGCACGAAAGGCGUAACGAUUUGGGCACUGUCUCAACGAGAGACUCGGUGAAAUCAUAGUACCUGUGAAGAUGCAGGUUACCCGCGACAGGACGGAAAGACCCCGUGGAGCUUUACUGUAGCCUGAUAUUGAAAUUCGGCACAGCUUGUACAGGAUAGGUAGGAGCCUUUGAAACGUGAGCGCUAGCUUACGUGGAGGCGCUGGUGGGAUACUACCCUAGCUGUGUUGGCUUUCUAACCCGCACCACUUAUCGUGGUGGGAGACAGUGUCAGGCGGGCAGUUUGACUGGGGCGGUCGCCUCCUAAAAGGUAACGGAGGCGCUCAAAGGUUUCCUCAGAAUGGUUGGAAAUCAUUCAUAGAGUGUAAAGGCAUAAGGGAGCUUGACUGCGAGACCUACAAGUCGAGCAGGGUCGAAAGACGGACUUAGUGAUCCGGUGGUUCCGCAUGGAAGGGCCAUCGCUCAACGGAUAAAAGCUACCCCGGGGAUAACAGGCUUAUCUCCCCCAAGAGUUCACAUCGACGGGGAGGUUUGGCACCUCGAUGUCGGCUCAUCGCAUCCUGGGGCUGUAGUCGGUCCCAAGGGUUGGGCUGUUCGCCCAUUAAAGCGGUACGCGAGCUGGGUUCAGAACGUCGUGAGACAGUUCGGUCCCUAUCCGUCGUGGGCGUAGGAAAUUUGAGAGGAGCUGUCCUUAGUACGAGAGGACCGGGAUGGACAUACCUCUGGUGUACCAGUUGUCGUGCCAACGGCAUAGCUGGGUAGCUAUGUGUGGACGGGAUAAGUGCUGAAAGCAUCUAAGCAUGAAGCCCCCCUCAAGAUGAGAUUUCCCAACUUCGGUUAUAAGAUCCCUCAAAGAUGAUGAGGUUAAUAGGUUCGAGGUGGAAGCAUGGUGACAUGUGGAGCUGACGAAUACUAAUCGAUCGAAGACUUAAUCAA